rnacentral:rRNA from 1 species
UACGUAGGUGGCAAGCGUUGUCCGGAUUUACUGGGCGUAAAGAGCGCGCAGGCGGUCGUUCAAGUCGCGUGUGAAAGCCCCCGGCUCAACUGGGGAGGGUCACGCGAUACUGAUCGACUCGAAGGCAGGAGAGGGAAGUGGAAUUCCCGGUGUAGUGGUGAAAUGCGUAGAUAUCGGGAGGAACACCAGUGGCGAAGGCGACUACCUGGCCUGUUUCUUGACGCUGAGGCGCGAAAGCUAAGGGGAGCAAACGGGGAUUAAGAUGACCCCGGUAGUCCC